rnacentral:rRNA from 1 species
CCUACGGGUGGCAGCAGUGGGGAAUAUUGCACAAUGGGGGAAACCCUGAUGCAGCGACGCCGCGUGAGUGAAGAAGUAUUUCGUUAUGUAAAGCUCUAUCAGCAGGGAAGAAAAUGAUGGCACUAGAGUAAGAAGCCCCGGCUAAUUACUUGCAAGCAGCCGCGGUAAUACGGCGGAUGCAAGCGUUAUCCGGAUUUAUUGGGUUUAAAGGGUGCGGAGGCGGUGAGGUAAGUCAGCGGGGAAAUGCCCCGGCUCAACGGGGUGAAGUGCCAUUGAUACUGGAUUGCUGGAGUGCGGGUGCGGUAAGAGGAAUGUGUGGUGUAGCGGUGAAAUGCGUAGAUAUCACGCAGAACACCAGUUGCGAAGGCAUCUCACGGGUCCGCGAUUGACGCUGAUGCACGAAAGCGUGGGUAUCAAACAGGAUUAGAUACCCGGGUAGUC